rnacentral:rRNA from 1 species
UACAGAGGGUGCGAGCGUUGUCCGGAAUCACUGGGCGUAAAGGGCGCGUAGGCGGUCUGGUAAGCGUGUGGUGAAAGCUCGGGGCUCAACCCCGAGUCGGCCAUGCGAACUGCUGGACUGGAGCAUGUCAGAGGCAGGCGGAAUUCCGGGUGUAGCGGUGGAAUGCGUAGAGAUCCGGAAGAACACCGGUGGCGAAGGCGGCCUGCUGGGACAUUGCUGACGCUGAGGCGCGACAGCGUGGGGAGCAAACAGG